CGGGUGGGGGCUGCUGUUAACUUGUCCCUCAGUGAACGAUGGCGUCGUCUUCCAACAACACUGCUGGCGCGAACAAUCAGGAGCAGCUAAAAAGAGAGAUGCUUCAGCGACUACUGCAUAAAGUUUCCCAGGUCAUGCACAGACAACCCCUCGAUGUGGACUAUUUGCAAUUUGUUAUCUACCAUGAGAUGGUCCUUUUAAGAUCUUUGUCCCAUCAGGUUGAGAUCCCUCAAAGUAUUAUAAAUGCUCUGAUAGAGCUGUCAACUGUGCUCAGUAUGGAGGACGUCAAUGAACAACCCCCCUCUCAGAUGUCAGUGUCAGAAGGAAAGCUGGGAUGUCCAAAUUACAAUGUAUCGCCUGUAUAGCUCCAGAUACUGACAGAAAUAUUAAAAUUCCCAAAAGUAUGCUGCAUAUGAAUACGUGAACGAGGGAAGCCUGGAAUUUGUAUGUGGACCAAAAUCUGCAUUAUGUACAGGUUGGAUCUAUAUGAAACAGCCAAUAAUGAGCACAUAGACAUAAGAAAAACUUCUUGCCACCGCAGUUUGCUCUCUCUCUCUCUGUUACGUAAUAAAUUGUAAACUCCUUUAGUAGUGCCU
ensembl:lncRNA